GACGGAGGAAGGUGGGGAUGACGUCAAGUCCUCAUGGCCCUUAUGGGUAGGGCUACACACGUCAUACAAUGGCUGGUACAAAGGGUUGCCAACCCGCGAGGGGGAGCUAAUCCCAUAAAGCCAGUCGUAGUCCGGAUCGUAGUCUGCAACUCGACUGCGUGAAGUCGGAAUCGCUAGUAAUCGUGGAUCAGAAUGUCACGGUGAAUACGUUCCCGGGUCUUGUACACACCGCCCGU
rnacentral:rRNA from 1 species